ensembl:Mt_tRNA
CAAGGAAUAGUUUAGUCAGAAUUUCAGCUUUGGGAGUUGACGGCGGGGGUCUUCUCUCUUUCUUGA